AAAAUCUGAAUCAUCUGGAGGAACAUGUGUUCUUGCGUUAUCUUGCUGGAUGUAGAUGGUUCGAUUGUCUUCGGGCCACUGUGCUUCAAUGGCUGGAAUGACCUUUUCACAUAGUGCGCACCGGAUCUGGUUCUUCUUCAUGGAGAGUGGGCUUCAGACUGUUUGUGUGUUUCCUUAUCUUUCCCCAUUUGAACCUUCUCCGCAAGGUAGAAUAUGGUACAUCCAGAGACCUAGCGAGUGCCCUCAGUGUAGACCUUUUGUUGAGGGGAAUUGAAGGUAUCCUCGAGAGAUCAAGGAACUCAGUUAACAACAUGUUAUUGGAACUACUCCAAGAACAGAACAGAAUGGCAUGUUAAUGUCAGUUAACAACAUGUUAUUACUUCCAAGAACAAAACAGCAAAACAAAAGGUUUUGAUUUGCUUGCAGAUUUGUGAGUGUGAUCUUCAGAGUGAUUUGACAGUCUUCAGAGUGUGAUCACCAUUUCCUUGAUGAACACAACAGAGAGGAACCAGUUGACAGGAACAUCAAAGGAUCAAGAGGACAGUAGCCGCUGCCCGCUGCGUCGAGAGGAUCAAUAGGAGCAGCAGAUUACUCACAGUUCAAAUCGCUCCAGCCUUGUGGUAUUUAGAGCACAAAUUCACGCCAAGAGGAGCAGAUGAUCAAUUUGAGUUGUCGGAGCUAUGAACGCCGGAGCAGCGGCGAAGGGUAAGGGAGCUGCGGACGCGGAGCAGCGGCAGAGGGUUAAGGAGCUGCGGACGGCGGAGCAGCGGCGGACCUUGGGCUCUCGAUUGGAGCGGAGGGUGGCGCCGGCGAGGGACCUGCGGCCGACGGGGAAGGAUGUCGAAGUUGCGGCGGAGGGUGAGGGAGCUGCGGACGGCGGAGCAGCGCAGCAACGGCAGACCUCAGUGACGGAGCUCUCAAUUGGAGUGGAGGCAGGCAGCCGGCGGGGAAGGACAACGGCGCUGCGGCGGAGGGAGACAGAGCUGCGGAUGGCGGAGCAGCGCAGCAACAGCCGAAAUCAGGCUCUUGAUUGGGGCGGAGGUAGGCGGCCGGCGGGGAAGGACGGCGGAGCAGCGAAGGAGCUUCCAAGCCACGGGACGAGGGCCAGGAUGGAGAAGAUUCAAAACUGGGAGGACCUUUUUGCAAAAUGUUAUUUCUAUAGCGCUCGCGACAAGUAAUUGGAACCGGAGGGAGUACUGACUUGCUUUGAUUAGCUGUAAUACCUAGUGCUACAUUUUACUUUGUCACGUUACUCAAAGAGUGCCCUCGUCAGAUCUUACCUAGCGCUGGAAAAGUGCGGCGUACACUGCCCCUGUGGCACACCGCUUAGUUUAUGACCUGAUUGUCGUUUUUAUCUUUAUUGCAUGCAGGCCCGCCUCUGUAUUGGGUUUGUCGUUAUUUUUAUUGUAUGGGAAACGCUUAAAAUUGGCCGGCUGGCAGAAAGCUAAGCUGAUCUCGUGCGU